CAAUAGCGUAUAUUAAUGUUGUUGCAGUUAAAAAGCUCGUAGUUGGAUUUCUGGUGGGAGCGGCCGGUCCGCCGUAAGGUGUGUACUUGGUUGUCUCCUGUCAUCCUUGUGGGAACUGCUCUGGCAUUAAGUUGUCGGGGUUAGGGAACACAUCGUUUACUGUGAAAAAAUUAGAGUGUUUAAAGCAGGCUUAUGCCGUUGAAUACAUUAGCAUGGAAUAAUAAGAUAGGACUUUGGCGUCUAUUUUGUUGGUUUGCACACCAAGGUAAUGAUUAAUAGGGAUAGUUGGGGUAUUCGUAUUUAAUUGUCAGAGGUGAAAUUCUUGGAUUUAUGAAAGACGAACUUCUGCGAAAGCAUUUACCAAAGAUGUUUUCAUUAA
rnacentral:rRNA from 1 species